GAUGAACGCUGGCGGCGUGCCUAAUACAUGCAAGUCGAGCGAACGGACGAGAAGCUUGCUUCUCUGAUGUUAGCGGCGGACGGGUGAGUAACACGUGGAUAACCUACCUAUAAGACUGGGAUAACUUCGGGAAACCGGAGCUAAUACCGGAUGAUAUUUUGAACCGCAUGGUUCAAAAGUGAAAGACGGUCUUGCUGUCACUUAUAGAUGGAUCCGCGCUGCAUUAGCUAGUUGGUAAGGUAACGGCUUACCAAGGCAACGAUGCAUAGCCGACCUGAGAGGGUGAUCGGCCACACUGGAACUGAGACACGGUCCAGACUCCUACGGGAGGCAGCAGUAGGGAAUCUUCCGCAAUGGGCGAAAGCCUGACGGAGCAACGCCGCGUGAGCGAUGAAGGUCUUCGGAUCGUAAAACUCUGUUAUUAGGGAAGAACAUAUGUGUAAGUAACUGUGCACAUCUUGACGGUACCUAAUCAGAAAGCCACGGCUAACUACGU
rnacentral:rRNA from 1 species